GAUGAAGAACGCAGCGAAAUGCGAUAAGUAAUGUGAAUUGCAGAAUUCAGUGAAUCAUCGAAUCUUUGAACGCACCUUGCGCUCCUUGGUAUUCCGAGGAGCAUGCCUGUUUGAGUGUCAUUAAUUUCUCAACCUCACCAGCUUUUGCUGAGUGCAGGCUUGGAUGUGGGGGUUGCAGGUCCGCUAACGUGGUCUGCUCCUCUGAAAUGUAUUAGUGGGUUGGGCCCCUAAUCUAUUGGUGUGAUAAUUAUCUACGCCGUGGAUUUGGGUGGCUGACUUAGACCCGCUUCUAACCGUCCUUCACCGGACAACUCUUGACAAUUUUGACCUCAAAUCAGGUAAGACUACCCGCUGAACUUAAGCAUAUCAAUAAGCGGAGGA
rnacentral:misc_RNA from 1 species